rnacentral:rRNA from 1 species
AUGGCUGAGUACAUUGACAUUGUCAGCGAGAUGUUUGAUAGCGAUGAUGAAGGUUUUGAGUUCUAUAACAAGUAUGCUCUUGAGAAAGGAUUUAGUGUGAGGAAAGGCUAUGUUGAGUGGGAUGAAGCGAAUGUGAAGAUAAUUCCGAGGAAACUUGUCUGUAGUCGUGAAGGUUGGCGUGAAGACAAGCACAUGAAGAGAAAGAAAGAAGAUAGGAAUAGGAAGCCACGGAAAGAAUCAGUGGCGAGUAGAAAGCGGACAUUAUAA